GAGGGUGUAGCUCAGUGGUAGAGCGUAUGCUUAGCAUGCACAAGGUCCUGGGAACAAUCCCCAGUACCUCCA
rnacentral:tRNA from 1 species